rnacentral:misc_RNA from 1 species
AAGUCGUAACAAGGUUUCCGUAGGUGAACCUGCGGAAGGAUCAUUGACAUAUUGUGGUUUAUAGCCAUGAAUCCGUGUGAAGUGACAUAUUGUGGUAUGAUAGGGUUGGUAACGAGGGAAAACUAUACAAUGAUUGACUAAAUAUUAAAAAAUUAAAAACAACUUUUAACAAUGGAUCUCUUGGCUCUU